GAUGAACGCUAGCGGCAGGCUUAAUACAUGCAAGUCGUGGGGCAGCAGGACUUUAGCAAUACAGUUGCUGGCGACCGGCAAACGGGUGCGGCACACGUACGCAACGUACCCUGAACGGGGGGAUAGCCCGGGGAAACCCGGAUUAAUACCCCGUAAUAUAAUGGAGUGGCAUCACUGUAUUAUUAAAGCUCCUGCGGUUCGGGAUGGGCGUGCGGCUGUUUAGGUAGUUGGUUGAGGUAACGGCUCACCAAGCCUACGAUCAGUACCUGGUGUGAGAGCACGACCAGUUAGACGGGCACUGAGACACGGGCCCGACUCGUACGGGCGGCAGCAGUAAGGAAUAUUGGGACAUGGAGGCAACUCUGACCCAGCCAUGCCGCGUGGAGGAUGAAGGCCCUCUGGGUUGUAAACUUCUUUGAAAGGGGACGAAACCUGUGUAUUCUUACGCAGUUGACGGUACCCUAGGAAUAAGCACCGGCUAACUCCGUG
rnacentral:rRNA from 1 species